rnacentral:tRNA from 1 species
UUACCAGGGAUGGGAAUCGAACCCACAGUGUUCCGCUUACCGGGCAGAUGCCAUGUCCACUAGGCUACCCUGGA